rnacentral:rRNA from 1 species
GUGCCAGCAGCCGCGGUAAUACGGAGGAUGCAAGCGUUAUCCGGAAUUAUUGGGCGUAAAGCGUCCGUAGGUGGCUAUGUAAGUCUGCUGUCAAAGCGUGCGGCUUAACCGCAUACGGGCAGUGGAAACUAUAGAGCUAGAGUGCGAUAGGGGUCACAGGAAUUCCCAGUGUAGCGGUGAAAUGCGUAGAUAUUGGGAAGAACACCAGCGGCGAAAGCGUGUGACUGGGUCUGCACUGACACUGAGGGACGAAAGCUAGGGGAGCGAAAGGGAUUAGAUACCCCUGUAGUCC